rfam:Staphylococcus sp. HGB0015 genomic scaffold aczIz-supercont1.1, whole genome shotgun sequence.
UAUCACUGAUGAGGCGCAUCAAUCAUAAGUAGAUAUAUUUUAAGCGUGUCUGCAAGCACAUAUAUCGAAAGGGUGAGAUGCCGAAACAAACAGUAUUGCAGUUGCUUGUUUGUUGGAUUCUUUGGUUAAGAGCUGAGAGUCUGUCAUUAUUGUUACAAUAAUGGAGUGCAUCACUUGUA